rnacentral:rRNA from 1 species
UAAAUCAAAACUUUCAACAACGGAUCUCUUGGCUCUGGCAUCGAUGAAGAACGCAGCGAAAUGCGAUAAGUAAUGUGAAUUGCAGAAUUCAGUGAAUCAUCGAAUCUUUGAACGCACAUUGCGCCCGCCAGUAUUCUGGCGGGCAUGCCUGUUCGAGCGUCAUUACAACCCUCAGGCCCCCGGGCCUGGCGUUGGGGAUCGGCGGAGCCCCCCGUGGCACACGCCGUCCCCCAAAUUCAGUGGCGGUCCCGCCGCAGCUUCCAUUGCGUAGUAGCUAACACCUCGCAACUGGAGAGCGGCGCGGCCACGCCGUAAAACACCCCAACUUCUGAACGUUGACCUCGAAUCAGGUAGGAAUACCCGCUGAACUUAAGCAUAUCAAUAAGCGGAGGAAAAGAAACCAACAGGGAUUGCCCUAGUAACGGCGAGUGAAGCGGCAACAGCUCAAAUUUGAAAUCUGGCUCUCGGGCCCGAGUUGUAAUUUGUAGAGGAUGCUUUUGGUGCGGUGCCUUCCGAGUUCCCUGGAACGGGACGCCAUAGAGGGUGAGAGCCCCGUCUGGUUGGACGCCAAUCCUCUGUAAAGCUCCUUCGACGAGUCGAGUAGUUUGGGAAUGCUGCUCUAAAUGGGAGGUAUAUGUCUUCUAAAGCUAAAUACCGGCCAGAGACCGAUAGCGCACAAGUAGAGUGAUCGAAAGAUGAAAAGAACUUUGAAAAGAGAGUUAAAAAGUACGUGAAAUUGUUGAAAGGGAAGCGCUUGUGACCAGACUUGGGCUUGGUUGAUCAUCCAGGGUUCUCCCUGGUGCACUCUUCCGGCCUAGGCCAGCAUCAGUUCGCCCCGGGGGACAAAGGCGCCGGGAAUGUGGCUCCUCUCGGGGAGUGUUA